GGAUUAGAUACCCUGGUAGUCCACGCCGUAAACGAUGCUCACUAGAUGAUGGACUGCUUUCGCGGUUCAUUGUCGAAGUUAACGCGUUAAGUGAGCCGCCUGGGGAGUACGGUCGCAAGAUUAAAACUCAAAGGAAUUGACGGGGGCCCGCACAAGCGGUGGAGCAUGUGGUUUAAUUCGAUGCAACGCGAAGAACCUUACCCACUCUUGACAUCCAGAGAACUUAGCAGAGAUGCUUUGGUGCCUUCGGGAACUCUGAGACAGGUGCUGCAUGGCUGUCGUCAGCUCGUGUUG
rnacentral:rRNA from 1 species